rnacentral:rRNA from 1 species
CCUACGGGUGGCAGCAGUGGGGAAUAUUGGACAAUGGGGGGAACCCUGAUCCAGCCAUGCCGCGUGUGUGAAGAAGGCCCUCGGGUUGUAAAGCACUUUCAGUGAGGAAGAACGCCUGGUGGUUAAUACCCAUCAGGAAAGACAUCACUCACAGAAGAAGCACCGGCUAACUCCGUGCCAGCAGCCGCGGUAAUACGGAGGGUGCGAGCGUUAAUCGGAAUUACUGGGCGUAAAGCGCGCGUAGGUGGCUCGAUAAGCCGGUUGUGAAAGCCCCGGGCUCAACCUGGGAACGGCAUCCGGAACUGUCAAGCUAGAGUGCAGGAGAGGAAGGUAGAAUUCCCGGUGUAGCGGUGAAAUGCGUAGAGAUCGGGAGGAAUACCAGUGGCGAAGGCGGCCUUCUGGACUGACACUGACACUGAGGUGCGAAAGCGUGGGUAGCAAACAGGAUUAGAUACCCUGGUAGUC